rnacentral:rRNA from 1 species
ACGGGCUUCGGUCUGGUGGCGAGUGGCGAACGGGUGAGUAAAGUAUCGGAACGUACCUUUCAGUGGGGGAUAACGUAGCGAAAGUUACGCUAAUACCGCAUAUUCUGUGAGCAGGAAAGCAGGGGAUCGCAAGACCUUGCGCUGAUUGAGCGGCCGAUAUCAGAUUAGCUAGUUGGUGGGGUAAAGGCCUACCAAGGCGACGAUCUGUAGCGGGUCUGAGAGGAUGAUCCGUCACACUGGAACUGAGACACGGUCCAGACUUCUACGGGAGGCAGCAGUGGGGAAUUUUGGACAAUGGGGGCAACCCUGAUCCAGCCAUGCCGCGUGAGUGAAGAAGGCCUUCGGGUUGUAAAGCUCUUUCGGCCGGGAAGAAAUCGCAUGGGCUAAUACCCUGUGUGGAUGACGGUACCGGAAUAAGAAGCACCGGCUAACUACGUGCCAGCAGCCGCGGUAAUACGUAGGGUGCGAGCGUUAAUCGGAAUUACUGGGCGUAAAGCGUGCGCAGGCGGUUUAGUAAGACAGGCGUGAAAUCCCCGGGCUCAACCUGGGAACUGCGCUUGUGACUGCUAAGCUAGAGUAC